GACGAACGCUGGCGGCGUGCUUAACACAUGCAAGUCGAGCGGUAAGGCCCUUUCGGGGGUACACGAGCGGCGAACGGGUGAGUAACACGUGGGUGACCUGCCCUCAGCUCUGGGAUAAGCCUGGGAAACCGGGUCUAAUACUGGAUAUGACUCCAUGACGCAUGUUGUGGGGUGGAAAGCCUUGUGCGGCUGAGGAUGGGCCCGCGGCCUAUCAGCUUGUUGGUGGGGUGANGGCCUACCAAGGCGACGACGGGUAGCCGGCCUGAGAGGGCGACCGGCCACACUGGGACUGAGACACGGCCCAGACUCCUACGGGAGGCAGCAGUGGGGAAUCUUGCGCAAUGGGCGAAAGCCUGACGCAGCGACGCCGCAUGAGGGAUGACGGCCUCGG
rnacentral:rRNA from 1 species